UACGUAGGUGGCAAGCGUUGUCCGGAAUUAUUGGGCGUAAAGCGCUCGCAGGUGGUUCGUCGCGUCGUGCGUGAAAGACCCCGGCUCAACUGGGGAGGGUCGUGCGAUACGGGCGAACUGGAGGCCAGUAGGGGGAUGCGGAAUUCCUGGUGUAGCGGUGAAAUGCGUAGAUAUCAGGAGGAACACCUGUGGUGUAGACGGCUUACUGGACCGCAACUGACGCUGAGACACGAAAGCGUGGGUAGCAAACAGG
rnacentral:rRNA from 1 species